rnacentral:rRNA from 1 species
GAUGAACGCUGGCGGCGUGCCUAAUACAUGCAAGUCGAGCGAACAGACGAGGAGCUUGCUCCUCUGACGUUAGCGGCGGACGGGUGAGUAACACGUGGAUAACCUACCUAUAAGACUGGGAUAACUUCGGGAAACCGGAGCUAAUACCGGAUAAUAUAUUGAACCGCAUGGUUCAAUAGUGAAAGACGGUUUUGCUGUCACUUAUAGAUGGAUCCGCGCCGCAUUAGCUAGUUGGUAAGGUAACGGCUUACCAAGGCAACGAUGCGUAGCCGACCUGAGAGAGUGGUGGUCCAGCGGGGAGCGGAAGCAGGGACCGGACUAAUACGGGAGGGAGCAAGGGGGCGACGUCGAUAAAGGGCGAAAGCUUGAAAGAGUAAGGGCGCGGGAGAGAAGAAGUUCUUCGGUAAGUAAAACCGUCUUAAGAGGGAAAAACAAAUGUGCAAGGAACAACGCACGGCCUGAAGGUACGGAAAUAGAAAGCAAAGACGAACUACGUG